CUUUAAUAGCCUCUGUCCACUGAACACAUUUCUCACACAUUUCUGAAAAUGACACAUUUUUGCAAAGUGUGUGAAUUGCGCCUUGGGCGUUUCCCCUAAGAAAACAUAAUUCACGCAUCUUUCAAAAUAGGCUAAUUUUUGAAAAAUGCGUAAACUCGCCCUGAACAUUUCGUGUUUUUUGCGAUGAUUUAUCCAGAUUUGUGAUGUUGUGAAAAAUGGUAAAGUAUCGUAAACAUCAACAGCUGAUAUAUUAACGAAUGCAAGCGACAACUUUAUAUAAGAAAUUUAAAUUAGAAUAACCUCACAGUUUUUAGAAUUUAAACAUGGCGAAAUGUCGAAAAGAGUACCUAAAGUGGAGCCCUUACGGCGAGAGCGCAAUUUUCGAGAUUUUUAUUUAAAGAAACGGUAGUUUUUCCACUCACAUGUCACCGACAACCGAUGGAGCACCUAUAUGUAAAACUUGAAAAUGUGACAAUUCUUAAGCCAGUGGAGAAAGGCUAUAAUAAGAUAAGUAACGCCCUACAACAAGAUGCUACAACAAAUUAAUUUUUAAAAAUUGAAAACGCAAACGAAAUCAGUAUUAUUGCUUUCUCACACUCCAAAGAGCGAAAACUCUAAAAAUGGAAUUUACUUUCAGCUUCCGCUCUGUGAGAGUUGUAUAGGCAAUUGUGUUUGUAUGUAAGUGAAUAUACAUAACAGCAUAUCUAAAUAUGUUGUUAUUCUCUGCUCUGGGUUUUGCUGGCAAAGAAAUAUAUCUCGCUUGUUUCCUACUGCAGACUUUUCUAGUCGAUGUAAACGAUGAUUUAUAUAAUUUCUUUAAAUUAAAUUAUUUAUUUUCUUAUCCCAAUUAGGAAAUAAGUAUGCAAAUCUUUUCAUUUUUAAUAUACAUUUUAAAUAUUUUUUUGGGAGCGUAGUAAUAAUUUUCCAUAAUAAAUAGCAGUGUUAGGAAAGCCAAAUAUUUCAAUCUCUGAGCCUGCCCAUGACGGGUUGGCAGCAGCCAAAAGUCCUAUUUGAAUAUAAAUAAAAGUCUAUAUUUUAAAACACUUAUCUAUAAGUUUCAAUUAUUUAUUAUUCAAUAUUUACAUAUAUUUAGAUACGACGAUAUGUCAGUACAGUAUGUCAGACAGUAUCUCAGACGCCACAUCGAUUUUGUUUCUUCAUUAAAUGGAAAGAUACUUUUUAA